GGGUCUGUAGCUCAGUUGGUAAGAGCAUGCGGCUCAUAACCGCACGGUCGGGGGUUCGAGUCCCUCCAGACCCACCA
rnacentral:tRNA from 1 species